GCCUCGUUAGCGCAGUAGGUAGCGCGUCAGUCUCAUAAUCUGAAGGUCAUGAGUUCAACCUCUCAUACGGGGCA